UUCUUUCCAAGGUCUUACAACCACCGUCAACGUUCCAAAGUCAGCGAUGGAUCCACCUCCACCAUCAACUGCACCACUGCUAGCUCCGAUGCCUCCGGAUCAAGGGUUUUUGGAAUCAUGGUAAGCUGUUUCCCCUAGUAUUGCAUGUUACUUCUGCACGAAGAAACAAACAUGGUAAAAUUUGACGUAUUCUUUCCUCAUUUUAUUGCAGUUUGUGGUUUCUGUGCUGCUGUGGUAUAUUUAGAAGUUGCUUCCCCCCACUCUUUGAGCCCGGGCCACCUCCUCCUUAGAGAUGCAAUUGUUCAAGGAUUAGAAAAAGAACAGAUCGAAGUUUCCCCAUCUGUUUUGCCUAUAUUUUUAGCAAGUUUGACGUGACUUUUAAGCGUCCUUGAUUUCUUUUUUUUUUUCUUUUUAAUUGUGCAUUUUUAAGGAUUGGAACUUGUUGGAAAUGAUUCUUCUUGUUUUCAUUCUUCAUUCUUAUGUAUCUGCUGAUGUUAAAGUUGCAAAAUGAAAGAAUUUUAGCUUCUCAUUCUUAUGCCUUGAAUAAUAAUGGAGUUGGAAACUUGAACAAUAGACUUUGAUUCAAGCAUAUCAACUAAGAAAAACCUAGUUGCCAUGUUUCUAC
rnacentral:lncRNA from 1 species